UACGGAGGGUGCAAGCGUUGUCCGGAUUUAUUGGGUUUAAAGGGUGCGUAGGCGGCCUUAUAAGUCAGUGGUGAAAGCCCAUCGCUCAACGAUGGAACUGCCAUUGAUACUGUAAGGCUUGAGUACAGACGAGGUAGGCGGAAUUGAUGGUGUAGCGGUGAAAUGCAUAGAUACCAGCAAGAACACCGAUUGCGUAGGCAGCUUACUAGGCUGUAACUGACGCUGAGGCACGAAAGCGUGGGGAGCGAACAGG
rnacentral:rRNA from 1 species